GGUUCAAGACUGCUGUGACGCACACCGAAUUGUGUGUUAAUACUUUGAACGGCCAAAUUUAGGUCAACAUCAGAUGCUACUCGCAAAAAAUAAGAAAUGAUACCUUUUUUAUAAUUAAAAAAAAUUUCCAUCAGAGUCAUUACAAUUGCAGAGGGAUGAGGACGUUUUUAAUUGCAAAACUGAAAAUGGCAAUGUUGCGCCUUGCGCGUAACUUUCAAGAUGGCUGCUGGCAUUCGACGAAAAUCGACAUUCGACAGCAGCUGACAGAUCCCCGGAGUGCCGUUCUGGUGUUUCCAUUCACAUUUUCAUGGCUGAAAAAUCAAGACCAAACAUGACUGAUUUGAAUGGUGGAUAAUAUAGGAUACCUGCUGCUUCAAAUGAGAUAUCUGAUGAUGCAGCCAUGCUGAUCCAUCCUCAAGAUGGAAAUGAAAUAUUUAAUAUUUAUUUUGGUUCGAUUGUUUUUAUUUGUGGUCGUUUUUCUUUUGGGUGGAAUCUCCUUCCUUUCAUGGAGAGUACGCCUCAUUCAGGCCCAAAAGUCUUAUUUUCUAAAUAAUGCGAGUUAUGAUGUCUGCUGAUUCUAAUACUUUUGCAAUGACCGAAUGGCCUUCAGCUGCAGCAGUUUCUUCUCGUCUUUUCCAGAAGAACUUUACUACCUGUAACUAUUACCCACCAGACCAACAAAGGAUCUUUGGCUCUUGUGUAUUUCAGUAUAUUCGCGUAUGGAAGCAAGCUAAACAGCUAUUGGUCUUGUUAGGCACAAUUUUAAUAGAUCUCACACUGUCGUUUAACUAAAUAAAGACAUAAACGUUUAUGUAUGUAGCCGAUUUAGCAACAAUUGUAGUGUUUCUAAAGGCUAGAUCGACCCGAGAUGUUUAACAAAUAGUUCGGCGGAUAGGUAAACGCUUAAACAGUCACUCCUCAAAGUAAAUUUGUUACAUCAUAGAUCCUACCAGUUAUGUAAAAAAUGGGUCUGAAUGAUACAGAUUUAUCUUAUUCUUAAUGAUUAUUAGAUGAAAAAUAAAUAAAAGUGUAAAUUACA